CGAGAGUGCUGCAACUACACGGUUCAUCCAGAAAAUGAGGACUGGACGUGCUUUGAACAAACAGCCAGUCUGGAUAUUAAGUCCUUCUUUGGCUUUGAGAGCACAGCAGAGAAGAUCGCCAUGAAACAGUACGCCAGCAGCAUUAAAAAGGGUAAAGAAAUAAUCGAGUACUACCUCAGACAGCUGGAGGAAGAAGGAGUUACAUACAUCCCUCCUUGGACCCCUCCUGUUGUCACUGGCCGUGUCUCUACCCGGCUGCAGCUGCACACCCCCUCCACAGCCAGACCCAUCCCAG